AUUUGGUAAAAAAAUUCUGCGAAAAUGGAAAAUAGUUGUAGAAAAAAUAAACUCGGCCCGGAGACAGCAUCGAACCUCGCGUUGAUACCUUUAUCACUCGAGAUCCACAUUCCUGAAAGCAAUUUAAUGAGAUAAAUUGAAUAUAAAUUAUGACGAAGGAACUUGUAGAAAGCUUUUGAAAUGAAAUGUUCUAGUACAUAAUAAAGGGAAAGCUGGUGAUGUUUUCCAAGUACCAACCAUGUUUGUUGCAACGAAGUGCAAAUUAUUUUCUGUUGUUAUGCACAUGUAGUGCCCUGGAACUUCCCUUCAGAUUGUUACUUUUAGUAAAAAACAAAGGAUGAUUAUUUGAAGUUUAUUAGACUUUGGAAAUAUCCAACUUGCAUGAAGAUUUAUAGAUUCCUAUUUUUAAUUUUCCGAGUGUAAUGAUUAAGAAGAGUUACUAUAAAAAUUGAAUAUUUUAAAAAGUAUGUAAUUAAAUGUUAAUAAUGAAUAAAUAUAGGAAAUUUGUUAUUUCCAAAAACGGGUGAUAGAAUACAGAGAAGUAUUGAAAAAAUUCACCUGGAGCAUGGCGAAUAAUUAACCCGUGUGAAAUAAUCUGUAAGCUCUAAUUUGUAUAGGAUACAAAAAUGAACAGACGAUUAAGAUUUAGAUUUGCAUGCAUUAAUAUGGAAACAAGGACUGAAUAUACAUAAAUGCACAAGAUUGAUAUUCAAGCCAGGGAGAGAUUAAAAACUGCUCGUAAAAUUGACAAUGAACAGGAUGAAUAUAAGCAGGCAAAUAUAAUACUAGGAUUCACAAACCAAUCGAACUGUUAAAAACAGAUGCACUCCUUCAAUGAAACGAAAAAUACAAACGAUAGAACCACACAACACUGGCGGCAAUUUUAUCGAACAGUUUUUAGUCCGUUUCACCCACUACCUAUUUACGUGAAACUUUUCUUGUCAACUAAAGGCUGAUUAAACGUAUAUCUGGAAAAACCAUCCCAACUAUUAACAUCGAAACUCGUAAUCAAUACACAACAGAAAAAAUGACGCAAGACUUAAAGGACACAGGCGGCACAAGACAAAGGGACAGAGGCACAUGCAGCAACAAACAUCACAAUACCCAUGCACUUGUGCUAUGAAAUUUAAACCUUUUCAGUGCGUCGCAGAAGAUGUACAAGCAGACAAAUGUAUGAAAAGAAAAGUCGGAUAAGGUAUUUAUACUAAA
rnacentral:lncRNA from 1 species